GAUGAACGCUGGCGGCGUGCCUAAUACAUGCAAGUCGAGCGAACAGACGAGGAGCUUGCUCCUCUGACGUUAGCGGCGGACGGGUGAGUAACACGUGGAUAACCUACCUAUAAGACUGGGAUAACUACGGGAAACCGGCGCUACUACCGGAUAAUAUAUUGAACCGCAUGGUUCAAUAGUGAAAGACGGUUUUGCUGUCACUUAUAGAUGGAUCCGCGCCGCAUUAGCUAGUUGGUAAGGUAACGGCUUAACAAGGCAACGAUGCGUAGCAGACCUGAAAGGGUGAUCGGCCACACUGGAAGUGAGACACGGUCCAGACUCCUGCGGGAGGCAGCGGUAGGGAAUCUUCCGCGAUGGACGAAAGGUUGACGGAGCAACGCCGCGUGAGGGAUGAAGGUCUUCGGAUCGGAGAACUCUGUUAUUAGGAAAGAACAAAUGUGUAAGUAACUAUGAACGUCUUGACGGUACCUGAUCAGGAAGCCACGGCUAACUACGUG
rnacentral:rRNA from 1 species